rnacentral:lncRNA from 1 species
CUCCACAUCCUAACCCUUUAUUUUGUUUUAAUCUAAUGGACCAAUAUUAAUCAUCAUUAUUAAUCAUGUGACCUCAUGUUUCUUAACUAUUCUCACAAUAUUUAUGGAUUCCUUUAAUUACUCUAUAUUUACAUUUCCUUUUAUUCUAUCAAAAGUAUUAUUUAUUUAAUUUUUAAAGUCACUAGGUUUGGUCUAUUGAUGAUGUAUUUGGGUAGUACGUUAUAGAUCAUGGAUUCG